rnacentral:lncRNA from 1 species
GCCACUCUUGUCCGGGUGGGAAUCAAACUCUAGCGCCACCCUUCAGGGCGCUGCGGAUUUGUUUCUAGAUCUCACUCCCGAGGCUACCCAGGGCCUUUCUCUCUAACCCUCAGGAGGAAGAGCAAGCUCCAUAACAGACAGAAGUUUAGAUUGUCAUUCCCAACUGCUAAUCAGGAAGCAGAAGUUAAACUCUUAGCAAAAUGGCAGCACCUGGAAAGACAAAUGGAGCCAAACUACCUGGGUUCAAAUCCUGACUCCACCACACGCUACGUUACCAACCAUCCUAAUCUGCCCAAGGCUGAGGAGUUUCCCAGGAUAUGGGACUUUCACUGCUAAAACCAGGAUAGUCCCAUGCAAAGCAGCAUGGCUGAUCACCCUGCUUGCUGCCAUGAGACUACCACCAUCCUCGAGGAUGAUAGAUCCCAAGGAGAGAGUGACCCAGUCAACAUCCAGCCCCAUUAGCAUGUGACUUAUCCAGCCCCAAUCCAGUCACCAGAUAAUAGCAAAUGCAUGAGUUAAUUCAGGUGAGACCAUCAGAACGAUCCAGCUGAACUUAACUCAAAUUGCUGUUCUCUGUUGGAGUUUUUCUGCACAUAAAAAAUAAAAUUGCUGAGGAAACAGAGGCACAUAGAGAUUGAAGAGCUUAUGUGAGCUCACCAGGCUGGUCAGUGACAGAGUUGGGAUUCCAAUCUAUGUCUCUCUGAUCCUAAACCCGCUACCCUGAGACAGAUGGGAAGAGAGGGGAAAUGGGAAGACCUUCAAAACCCCUACUGCCCAGUUCUGUUCAGAGCAGAAUAAAGACUAUCAUGGAGAAGAAGGCUGCCACACAGUAAAGAAACCGAGACUCAGAGCGGUGAGGUGACUUUCCCAGGGCCUCAGAGCCAGCGAACAGCAGGGCCAGGAUCAAAACCCAGCCCUGCCUGAUCCUGAAGCCCGAGAUUCCUGCCACUGCCCCACUUAAGAGAAGGAGUCUCAGAGAAAGAACACAGAUGGAGGCUGCCCUCUUCUGCCCCCUGUAACCACAGCACAGCUUGUCCCAGGGGGUGGGGGACAAGAGUUCCUUUUCCCAAAGCACAGUAGGCACAACCCUAUGAUAUUAGGAGGUGGGCAGAAGUCCAGUCUAGAGGCCCCCGCUCAGUGGGAGCCUCUGACACCUACUCACCAUUGCCAGAGGUAGAAUAUUCCAGACAUCUCCAACUCUGAGCCCAGGGGCCCCUGAUUCGGCCAGGCCUUGCUUUCCACUGUUCCUGUCCACUCUCUCCAGCCACGUUUGUCUCCCCAAUACUCACCUCUAUAAGCACCCUGUUUAUAGUUGCAUUCCUUUGAUCGCCACAUCCUUUUUCCUCCUAUACUUUUAUUUACUUAAUAUUUUUCGUUAAAGUGACUAACUCGUAUAAUCUGACCUCUUCC